CAUCUCUAAAUCUGUCACUUAUGUCUGCAAAGUUGUGCUCUGUAGUUAGCUUUGUAUUGGACUAAUCUGUUUAGUACAAUACAAAAACAUAUAUCACAUAGGGAUGAACCUGAAGUUUACUGACAGAUGUUUCAACUAAUUUUGUAGUCAUACAAAUUGUAUGUCUUGCUAUUACUUAUGCACUCUUAUGAAUAGGUAUAUGUGAAACUUCUGUGCACUAGUUCAAGGUUACUUUUUACAAUGACUAUCCUCAUCUUUAAUUGUUUAUGGGAAAUACUAGCAGGGUUUCUACCCUUUCUUUCCCCUAAUGACUGAUGGCAGUUGGUGCCAUAAUUUGGCUACCCCAAGACAAAUAUGCAACACUAUAUUCAAUUGUCUCACUCAUUAUCAUUACAGAAAGUGCUCACUGCUCUCAUCUCAAUAUUUUUACACAUCUCCAUAUACUUUAUUAUGUGUUUACUAUUUUAUGUUUAACAUUUAGGCAGUAGCACAUCUCCAUAUAUUUAUUGUAAGUUUAUUUCAAAUUGAGGAAGCUGAACUGAGCAUUAUGAAAUUGUAUGCUGAUUCCUAAUGAUAUAUAUCAAGAAGGCGUAAUUGUAAGAGAGACAUGAUGGGUGCAACUUGGAGUAGCAUGUGAGCUCAUAUGCAUUGCUGAAGAAUCUUUUUACGUUUGUGUUAAGUAGAUCAAGUCCUGUCAGAUUGAUUCAAUAGUUUUCAACUGAGUUGAUUGUAACUUGCUACUGGAAUAUCUAUGAAUAUUUCUGCUCAUUAAAAUUACUACAUAUCAGCAACAAUGUAUUUGUUUUCUAUACCACAUGUUGUUCCUGUAAUAUUAUUGGAAGAAUAAUGGUAUGUUGCCAGUCACUACCUUGAUCAAUGGAACUUGAUAUGGACCGGAUGUUUGAUGGAUGCAA